GACGAGCGCUGGCGGCGUGCCUAAUACAUGCAAGUAGAACGCUGAAGAGAGGAGCUUCCUCUUCUUGGAUGAGUUGCGAACGGGUGAGUAACGCGUAGGUAACCUGCCUUGUAGCGGGGGAUAACUAUUGGAAACGAUAGCUAAUACCGCAUAACAAUGGAUGACACAUGUCAUUUAUUUGAAAGGGGCAAUUGCUCCACUACAAGAUGGACCUGCGUUGUAUUAGCUAGUAGGUGAGGUAAUGGCUCACCUAGGCGACGAUACAUAGCCGACCUGAGAGGGUGAUCGGCCACACUGGGACUGAGACACGGCCCAGACUCCUACGGGAGGCAGCAGUAGGGAAUCUUCGGCAAUGGGGGCAACCCUGACCGAGCAACGCCGCGUGAGUGAAGAAGGUUUUCGGAUCGUAAAGCUCUGUUGUAAGUCAAGAACGGGUGUGAGAGUGGAAAGUUCACACUGUGACGGUAGCUUACCAGAAAGGGACGGCUAACUACGUG
rnacentral:rRNA from 1 species